AUGACUUUCAUCAUCAUCUUCAUCUGGACACUUUUUAUCCAAGGUAACAGUGGACAGAUAACUGUGACUCAAACUCCUGCUAUUAAAACUGUUCAGACUGGUGAAUCUGUCACUAUAAACUGCAAAACAAAUACACAAGUGAGCAACGGUUGUACUGGUUCAUAUACUUGUAUGGCCUGGUACCUGCAGAAACCUGGAGAAGCUCCUAAACUCUUGAUUCAUUCUGCAAGUCAAAGACUCUCAAACACUCCAUCAAGAUUCAGUGGCAGCGGAUCAAACACAGAUUUCACUUUGACCAUCAGUGGAGUUCAGACUGAAGAUUCAGGAGAUUAUUACUGUCAGAGUUUUCACAGUAGUAGUGGCUAUGUGUUGACACAGUGA